GACGAACGCUGGCGGCGUGCUUAACGCAUGCAAGUCGAACGGAAAGGCCCUGCUUGCAGGGUGCUCGAGUGGCGAACGGGUGAGUAACACGUGGGUGAUCUGCCCCUUACUUUGGGAUAAGCCUGGGAAACUGGGUCUAAUACUGGAUAGGACCAUGCUGUAGGUGGUGUGGUGGAAAGAUUAGUUUCGGUAAGGGAUGAGCUCGCGGCCUAUCAGCUUGUUGGUGGGGUAAUGGCCUACCAAGGCGUCGACGGGUAGCCGGCCUGAGAGGGUGGACGGCCACAUUGGGACUGAGAUACGGCCCAGACUCCUACGGGAGGCAGCAGUGGGGAAUAUUGCACAAUGGGCGCAAGCCUGAUGCAGCGACGCCGCGUGGGGGAUGACGGCCUUCGGGUUGUAAACUCCUUUCAGCCAUGACGAAGCCCUUGUGGUGACGGUAGUGGUAGAAGAAGCACCGGCUAACUACGUG
rnacentral:rRNA from 1 species